rnacentral:rRNA from 1 species
UACGAGAGCGGCAGACGGGAGAGUAACACGUGGGAACGUGCCCUUUGGUUCGGAAUAACUCAGGGGAACUUGAGCUAAUACCGGAUAAGCCCUUACGGGGAAAGAUUUAUUGCCAAAGGAGCGGCCCGCGUCUGAUUAGCUAGUUGGUGAGGUAACGGCUCACCAAGGCUACGAUCAGUAGCUGGUCUGAGAGGAUGACCAGCCACACUGGAACUGAGACACGGUCCAG